rnacentral:lncRNA from 1 species
CAGUGGUAGAACCUGGUGAACCAGGCAUACUGCUUGACUUGCUUUUCUUCUCUUAUGAUAUUUAUGAUAUUGAUAAGUCGAGCCUUCGCUAUUGCCUAUAAUAAGAGGUCAAGGAUCGAGUCGUCUGUUCAUAGUUUCACUUCGCUUCUGCCAUUCUGUUCCCCUCAGACUAUUAAGGGAAAGCAAGGACACCUGUGAACUCGGAUAACCUUGUGGCAUACCGUCGAAUCUACUCUACCCUACGCUACCAUCUUUCUUCCUUGUGAUUCAACCACGGCGGAUAUUUAGUCAACUGCGGUUACGCUUACACCAAGAACUCCUAUUCUAUUGCAUCAAGAGCUGAUUCAAUUGCAGCACUUACUGUAACAAGAAGAGCGUGAACUCAUUCUCAAGCACUUGCAGCGGCUGGCUUUUUUUCUUAGGAUAUUUAGUAAGGCUAGGUUCAAUAGAGGCAAUCCAUUUAUUCAUAGUAGCUGUCCAACGGGAAAACUCUUUCAAUCAAGCAAGUAAGCCAAGCAAGGCAAAUCGCCAAUCGAUUUGCCGAUCCAACUACGGACAAAACACCACGCCCACGGGCUCGGCCGAACCGAGCCGCCCAGGCCGCAAGCGACAAAGAGGCAGAUUCUCAGACUGAAGAAGCAGUGGCUACCAUUGCUGAAGUCCAGCAUCAGGAACAGCCUCAAGCUGGUGGCCCAGCCCAAGAAGCUGCUGCUGAGCCCGUAGAGACUGGAGCCAAGCCUGGAAGGGCGAACCAAGGAACUCAGACUGUGGAGCAGCAACCUGUGAUCCAUUCGGUUAACCACAUGUUCUUUUUACUCGCGAAAAUGGUGCCUUUAAAGCAAACUAAGAGCAGGGAAGGGACUAUGGCCGGCAUAAGCUCACCAAUUAGGAUGCGUGACUGACGCAUCUUUUUUUUUUCAAAUGAUCUGGGCAUUUUCCUUUGGGCUGGGAGGGCUGUUAUGUAGGCGUACAACUCUUCCUAGGUUGUAUUCAAUCACGAAUUACCAAAGAAUCGAUUAGUAGUAUGCCUGUGCCAGAAGACCUUCUCGCAGAUGAUUUCUAGUCAGUGUGCCGCGAAUGGCUUCUCGAUGAAUAAGCUGCGAUUGCUCUUGUUGAUACAGUUUCCUUUUUUUAGGCAGUUUCGUAUUCUAAUGAUCCCGUCUUACCUGAUGAUUAGGAUUUGCUUUCCCUAUUUGAAAAAAGGAGAUCUGUGUCACUCUCACUAUGCUUCACACAUGAAAUUCUACAGCUUUCAAGGGCUCAUCAUAGCCCUUUUUGUGACUCGACUCAAGCUCAUCAUAACCUUUUUUGUGAUCACGCUCAUCAUAACCUUUCCUGAAAGUAGACGACAAGUUUGAAAUCUUAACGCCAGCAUAAUCAUUGAAAGAGUAUCUUCUUUUUCGCCACAUCGCAUCAAGGUGACAGGAUUCGAACCUAUGGCCCUCUGUACCCAAAACAGAUGCGCUGACCAGACUGCGCUACACCUCGUCUCACCACCCCGAAGCAUAUAGAUCCACCCGAUCGAUGAACACUCAAACCGAACUCGCCCAUCCUUUUGGAGGGAUGCGAGAACCAAUCCGAGUAAUCAACCGCUUUUUUUUGAAUCUGCCUCAAGCACCCCAACCCUACCGCCAAAAAGCCGUCCGUAUAGUGCAGGAGCGCUCACAUUUUUUUGCUUACUCUUUCACUUUCAUUUCUCAAUCCGGCUCACUCCCGGCUACGGUUUGGACCUUUCGCCUGCUUAGAAGUGGAUUCGAACCACUGACACAAGGAUUUUCAGUCCUUUGCUCUAACCAGCUGAGCUACCUGAACCACUUUCCUAAAGUCUGUUUUCUUCAUCGAAGAGCGCCCUACCUUACCACUUGACUAGUAAGGGAAAAGCCCUUUACUAAACUAAGAAAAUAGAAUAGAUAGGCUUUUUUCGCUUCUUCGUCAAGCUUUCGAGCAGCUCUUUCAACUGCCGCCUAAUCCCCCAACAUGCUCAAGAACCGAGAGCCGUCCAGGGACUGCCGGAGGGAGCUUGCUUAUAGAAAGAAGAUAGGCCAGAAAAACAAGGUGCAACGGGCUCUCCGCUCCUAGUCACUAAGAAGUGCUAUUCUGUCCUCCGGGGGACUGGACUCCACCAAGAGGUUCUUUCUCUCACGUAAUUUCGCCCGCCCGUUUCAUUUCCGUACCGGAGGAAAUGGGAUUCGAACCCAUGAUACAAUCUUCUUGUAUGUCGAUUUAGCAAACCAAUGCCUUAAGCCACUCAGCCAUACCUCCAAGUUGUUGAUCGGAAUGGAAUUGGAUGUGCCGGGUUUGGUUGCUUGCCCGAAGGAAGGGCUAUCUGAUCCGAUCAACUACGUAAGCCGUAGCGCGCUAGCGCGCGUACUCUUCCUCUAUGAGCGAGACUCCAUCCAAAUCUGCCACUCCUUGGGCGAGGCCUUCUGUUCUAUGAACACCCCACCACUGAAUGAUUCACUUUCAAGUUCUCGCCUCCGACCCGGGAGAACACAGGGUCAAGCCAAGCCCUGACCCGCCUAAAUGGAAUUCAUAUCUCCUUCGUCUGGUCGAGAAGGGAGGGGAACUGGACUCUGCCUCUUCUAUUACAUUUACAUUACAUUACGGAGAAGUCCAUUCUCGUCAUGAUCGAUCCACGUCCUAGCGUAGUGCCCGGCUUGCUUAGCAACCAAAGCUAGCUUACUAAGGUAGUUUACUUUUUCAUUUUGAAAAAAGAAGGCGAAGGGAUUUUUCCUUGAUUGCACGAGCUAGCCAGCAAGCCAGCAAACCCCCCCUUACUCACCUCAACAUCUAUAAAAAAAGCUCUUUCUCCUUUUCAUUUCAUAAUAAUAAGGUAAGCAUCCAGCUCUCGAUCCAGAGCUACUGCUUCAAGAAUCAACUGAGCUCAGGAAGUCAGGUUAAGACGUCGACUUUGACAGGGGAGAUGAAAAAGAAUUCCUGUCUUUAGAAGUAAAUCCCACUAAACUAGACUUGUACGCUUGACAUGAAAAGUAGAGGCAAGCGGAGUCAAAGGCCGAGCCUCAACCAGCAAAGGGGGACAGCCAUGCCAAUCCAAGCACAGUAAAAGUGUGCCCACUCUACCUUUCUUUCUUUACCCUAGACUCCGUUCUUCAAGGAGACCCAUGUGCAUUUCCUCUGUUCUGUGCUCGCUACGCCCUUGUGCCUUUAGUUGAAGUAUAGGUCGUCGAUUCAAUCUAUCUUGAUGGGAUUUUUCUAGUAGGUAGCGAGAAGACUAGUAGUAUCGACAAGAGGCUACAUCAAUAGCUGAAAAUUUCGGGUAGGGUAGGCUUGGAGUCAGAAGUCCUAUUCUUCCCAACCAAAUAAGCACUUUUGCAAAGUUCACCUUCCCGCGGUCAAAACAAGACUUACGGAUAACAAUCAGACCUUACCAGGGACAGGGACCAGACUAUAGAGCCUAAUUAAAAAGAAUUCGGGCUUGCUUUUUCAAUUCACAUCUAUGAGCGAGGAUUCCUCUAUCUCUUGCUCGCUUCGAUCGGACUCUGACAGCUUAGGGAAGAAUGAUGGGUCGCUAACAAGGCCCCUAAAUGACCGCUCAGAAGGCCUACCUGUUUUUUUUCCCAAUCUGUCACUUGCUCGUCCCUCUCUCAUGAAAAUGGUCUCUCCUCUCCUCUCGCUGUCAGGUUUGGUUCUUGUUCCAGGUUGGGUCUCACUGUUUUAUUAUUGAUUGUCCCAUGGUUAGAAUACGCUUUUUUUCGCUUGGUUAUCUUAGAAGGGUUAGCUACGUCCCGUUGGGAACCAUGAAACAACUAACACCCUAUCUUCUACUCCGUACUAUGAGAUAGAGGCAAUGAAAUGGGAAUUGCAACGCACUAUUCGGUCCAGCCCCAAUCUACUUUCCUCUUCCGAGAUGCCUUCUUCACUGGCCAGGCAAGGGAUAGAGUCUUGUCUUCCUUCUACGAUUCCGAACUUUGUCCUAAGAGCUGAUUCGUUCAAAGACAGGAAAGACAGUUUCGAAAGCAGAGACAUAAACUGGGACAGGAUUACUACUGGCUUGAAAGCGGCGUGACUCACUGUGAUUGGAAUCCGACUUCCUUGUGACCCGCUUACUUGCUUAUGUUGUACCUCUUCCUUUGCUAACUCCGCCUGUAUUUGAGCAUGAACUAAUCUAUCACUUCCCUCCUAUCUCUUAAAGCUUUUACACUUGACAGUUCCCCUGACCACCCGGACGACCGGAGUAGAAGGGGGAUGCCCUUUAAUUAAGCAAAGAACACACCGAAGCUAGACAGAUUGGAAAAGCCCCUUUAUGGAAGGACCUAUGUAGAAGCUCAUUCCGGACAAAGGAAAUCUCUGACACAGAUUUAGGCUUCUCCGAUUGAGAAAACCCCGACAAUUACUUUUAUAGUAGCUGCGAGCCUAAGAUCAAAGGCAGUUCCAAAAAGGAGUUCCCUAUUUCCAGCUUGAAAAAGUAAAGUCUCAGUGCCAGUUGUAAGGUUAGGAAAGCCAGGUAUGAUGAAAUCCUCUUUUCGAAUAGGAAUUGAUUCGAUCUUAUUAUUAGAAUAUUCAGAUUCAACUGAAUAUACUGUUUUCAAGAAGGAAUCGCCAUCACCAGUGGAAGUUGAACCCGGCGAUCUCUUCCUCCUGAAGUAUGGAAAAAGGAAGAAAAAGCAGUCAAUCACAGGGAAGGAAAUAGAGAAGGUAAGGGACCGCUUUCCUUGUUCAAGCCGGUAUUUAAUGAGUAAGUAGUAAGUAAGUGAGAAGUGGUGAAUUGGCCAGGAGGAAUAAAGCUUAUUUCAAGUACUAAUAAAAGCAUUCAUUACAAACUCUUGUGCUCACUUAUCCCAAGUAUAGGAUGUUUUCCCUGAGCCUGUCUGUGUUGAAUACGCUUUUUCCGUGUAGAAUAGAGAUUCUCUCUAAGAUUGAUAGAAUAUACGUUUUCUUUCUCUGAUUAAAGGUUGUCCAAAGAGGACUAAGAGACAGAUGCUGUGCUUGCAAGUAAGCUUCAGCCAAGCAUCAGAUAAACCAAGUUCGGGUUGGGAAAGGGGCUAUUUACCCCAGCAAUAUAGAAUAAUUAUUACCCCCCGCCACAGGCCAAUGAGCACGGCUUCCCAUAUGCCGGAUAGCUUUGAAGACUAGCUCCUACAUUCCUUCUUCUAGUUCCAGAAGGUACCUUUUAUAGACCAGUCUAUCUCCUCUGUGGGGAAGGCAAGGCUACUCUAUCAGAAUCGGAACCUUGGCUAGGGCUAUCUAGAGACUAUGGCUGUCUAGAGUAGAGUCUCGGUAUCGGGAAAUCAAUAGUAUAGGUCUUCCCCGCCUCUACCGCUGGUGAGAUCUCUGCUUGAACGUAAUCAUUCUUGUUUUGGAUCGUUUUGAGGGCUGUUCUAGAUGGAUGCACCACAAGACCUCUCGCGGAUGCUUACCUAAGCUACGGAACUCAAUUGUUGGGCGCCUUAACUAAAGGAGCUAAACCGGAGGAUCUCAUUCCACCUUAUCCUUCGCUGAAUCUUUCCUUUGUCCUUCCCCUGAACUGGAGACGGAACUUUCUUAUUCAACUAUGGGGGUUAGCGAAGGAAAGAAAGCUCAACACGUCUUCUUUAGAAGAAUUUUCCUGCAUCAGUAUAUCAGCUGAUUAGAUAUGAAGCUAUGUAGCAAGAUCCCCCAUCGGGUUAAGAAUCCGUCUUUUUUCUGCCUCAAUUGAGACUUGUAAGAGGCCAGGCUUAGCUCCUGAAGAUAGUAGGAUUAACUGGGCUUAGCUUAGAUAAAUGCUCUUUAAACUCAUUCAAUAUCUUUCUCGCCUUAUCCUGCUAACAGCCUAUGAAUGUGCGCUUGUCGGAAAUCAUCUUCAAUCUUCGAUUCCUAGUGCGCUGAUUCGAGAACAAGCUCACUUUCGUUCGCUUCCUGCUGCUCCUGCUAAUGCUAUUGCUACCUCCUCCUUUGCUCCUUCGAUACGUGCCUGGUCGAAAUCUUGCUUUAUUUAUAUUCUUCCUGAAAAGGUCAUACUUCUGCUCUCUUUCUUUCAUCAGCUAUUUUGACUAUGAGAAAGCUUUUCAUCAGAUAGUCUUUAGUUCUUUUUGUAGGCCGGACAUCUUUUUCCUAAAAAGUCCUCACAUGGUCAGUGAAGGCCCAAGUAUACCUAUAAAAAAGAAAUGCACGGCAGCUUUUGAAGAAAAAAGAGAUGCAUCUUUCUUUUCAACAAGAGGAAUCACAGCUGAUUAGAGUGCUACCAAGUUUCGUUUUUGGUUGCAACCCGAAUUCCCGGGAGAAUGAAAUUCAAAAAGUUGAGGAACGAAGUAACCUCAUCCAAUGGCCUCCUUCCUCUCCUUUAGAGUCGAGUCACUUCGUACCUUCCUAGCCGUCUAUUUCAAUCGUGCCAGUUGGAGGAAAGCCCGUCUUUUUUUGCCUACUCCUGGUGCCUAAAGGCAAAGAGCUUCUUCAAUAGCCAAGUCGAGCAGUCAAGCAGCGGGUUGAAGUCAAAGACAAGACAAGUCCUACUCUCAAGCAAAAGGCUAAGAGCGCUUGUUCCACUUCUAGCUCGUUAGGGAUGGGAUUCCUAAGACCUCUGAUGCCCUGACUCUCAGUCUCAAUCAAGUAAGAAAGGGAACCCUUUUAGCUACGGCAAUGGGUAUAGACCUCUUCCCUCCGCUGCUUACCCAAUGGACCACUUAGAAUAGACCGAAUCGAAGGCGGUAAGCAUUCUGUAAUCAUUCCAAGUUUUCCAGGCUGCCCAUUCUCUUUGUAUGAAAAGUAGGAGUAGGAAAUGUCGUAGGUAAAGCCGUCCAGUACUACAUCCGUAAGCCUUCCAUGUAUUGCAUUCGUUCGUCGGGGAAUCCCUAUGUUCACUCCCAUCAGGGGAAUUUGCCUUGAUUUCGAUUCUAUUACGUACAAGUGGGCCAGCCAGUCCGUCUGGUAAUUGAUUCUGUAUUCAAGGUAGGCUAUUUCGUCCUAGCUUUCCAAUUUCUCUGUCCUAACAGCGUUCGAAGCCUAACAUCCUUGCAAGCUUUGGAUUCUUUCCUAUCUCUGACCGGGAAAGAGGUUACCAAGCAAGUGAAACUGAAGUGAAACUGUACUCGCCUCUUCUCCUUCUUGUCCUCUUGUACUUCCGUUCUUCUUAUUCUCGUAUCCGGAACCGGAACAAGCUCUUCUUUAGCAGCCUCGCUUUGUUAGCUUCUUGUUAGCAGUACUAGUUUGUAGUCUUUAUUGACCUGGAACACAAGCUUUACCAGCCAACCCGAUCUGACCUUCGAAACUCUCUUCUCAUACUCCUCGUUCGUCGUUCCAGGCGUACUCCAGUUAGCUCUUCUCUUACAGAGCCUUGUCUGUUCGAUUGCUUUCCUAGUCUUCUUCCUGCUUCAUUAGAUAAAGCGUCUUCAUUAAUAGAUAGAGUUGGAGUACGUAGUGAGAGUCAAGGUCAAGGUUGAUUGAUGAGUUCAGUGGACAGAACGAUCGAUGUGAGGCCUAGGUCAAGGCAGGAAGUUAAAGUGUGACUUCCCCCGUAGUUGGGGGCGGGGGUUAAGCGUCCGAUUCGACAAUGAACACUAAAUGAAAGAGGCAAAUCCAUUUUCUCACCCGCCUACGAUUGAUUGGAGACUUAUUCAGUAGGUCCUCCUUCCCUACAGAAUGGAAUUCCAGGGCGUCUUGCUUAGAUCGCAUUUGCUUUCCCUUACUCCUGAAUAGUGAAAGAUUGAGCCUUUUUUGUUCAACCCAAGUGUUGGAGUUCCAGAGCACACUCUACCUUUGCUUCCUCAUUCUUCUGUGCCAAGAAUGAUCCAAUUGAAUCUUCUGAAGCUGAUAUGUAAAAUCUCAAGGGCUCAGAAGAGGCUCAUUUAUGCUAAUCAAAUUAGUACUCGUGCGGAAGUAUUUCCCCUAUCAUAGAAGGUGUGAAGCAGGCGGGGUCUUUAAAGCAAAAAAGCAAAGCAAGUUCCAGGGAUGCGGGCAGAGGGGGGUUUCUCGAUAGUCCAAAACUAGUGAUCUAGGCUUCUCCAGCAAAGAAUCGACGCAUGCCGAGUAGACUACAAUUUGUGGCACCAUAUCCUACCUAUCCCGAAGGGAAGUCUCCAAAGUGGGAUUGUAUAUUAACUCAGUCUCCGACGAAGAAGGUUCAGGCAUGCUUCGACUUAGCCCUAUGAUCCGCUAAUUCAUCUCUUUUUCUGGUAUUCCGCAAAGGAGGUGGAUAGGGUCAGCGAAAGAAGUGGCGAGGGCAGAAGAAAGGGUUUUCAAUUCAAGAUUCCCGCUCCUGAAAAUGGGUAUUAAACAAAGGACAUAGUGGGUUAGGUAAAACCUAUUUUGAGAGGAAAGAUCUAUCAAAGCAGAAAGUCCAAAGCCAAAGGUUUUUUUCAAUGCGUAUGCUUUAAAAGUCAGACUUGGAAUAUAUUAUUUAUCUGUACUUUAUUAAUGGGAUAGGAAUUCGUAGUGGGACGUUCUUUUCAUAGAUCCUUCGAGCGAGAAAGGUGCUGCGCCGGGGCCUCCUCAAGGUCAUUCGGAACCACUUUAAGGCUGUUUAUUGACCAUAGCAACGCAAUGUUCAGUGGUGGGGCAAAGCACUAGCGAGAAGCUUCCCUUGGGAUUGUUUUCCCAGGCAAUUUUCCUUUUUUGCGCUUAUACGCUUUUCUCUGUCUUUGAUGUCAAGCCCAGUCCCAGUGACCCAUUGGAUUGGAUUUCUCCCUUGGGCGGACUCCAUAUGGGGAUAACUUGUUACUUGUAAAGUCCAGGAAUGAAUGCUUAUUAAGGAAUCGGUAAGCUGAUGUGCCAUUACUGGGUUCCAUCCUCUGGCAAUUAUCGACUCGGGAAUGAACGAAGUCGCUUCACUUCAAAGUAGAGGUUUGUGGUAACGGUGGACUGACAGAUCAGCUCCAAGGCCUGAGUGCCUAGGUUGCAGUGGUAAGAGUCGCUGCCGAUGAGUUCCAGCUGCCAGAGUCUUCGAUAAGAAAGAGGCGUCUGAGUAAACAGAAGUGAGAUCUUCCUAUUGAUACUAGCACUAGUGGGACUGGCUCCCGGGGAAAGGGAAUUACACUAGAUCUUGGCAAUGGCACUCCAACAAGCUCGGCAGGGAGAGAAAGAAGAGAAGGAGAAGAGGAAGUACGACGAAAAGGGUAUGAAAUAGGUUGCUUGUAGCGAUUGCGAUUGCUUAUUUGGUUGGGAUUACCAGCCUGACCAAAGAAUAAGAUAAAAAGAAGAGUUCCCGCCUACGGCUACAUGCCCAUUAAGAGCUAUACCUGGAGUCGAGCUAACUGCAUAGGCAGAGGGGAACUUUCCUAAAAAGCCUAAUAGCAAUUAACCGCAUUGGAAACGACGAAUCACACUCUGAAAGGAGGUUCCCUCCCAAUAGAUGUCAGGAGGGAGCAAGGCGUGAUUGCUCUGUCAUCCUCCGACCGCCCCCCUUUCCACCUCUAAGUAGUGGUGUUGGUGUGUCUCGUUGCAAUCAUUCCGGUCAAUCCCUUUCCUGAACCAUAGGUAAGGGAUGACAGGAGAUGGCCCCUAUAGCAAAAUAAACCAGCCCCUCAUUUGAGAGAGUAAAUAGAAUAGUGUCGGGCUUACGACAGUCUGACUUUUGAACGACUAAGCAACUACUAAGCUCCCGCCCACCCCCAACCAAUUAGGGUAAAGUGUUCAUUCAUACCUUCAACAGCACCGAGAUAUUGGCCCAUGACCAUGUUUACUUCAUCUUCAAGAGCAAGCAUCCUGGCUCUCAGGGCCUCAGGCAACCCUGGAUCCUUUCCUACUUCCUUAGUGAUUCCAAGAAGAUGCUUCAACCCCGUUAAGUUUUAGCUGGCCAUCACGGUCCAAUAAAGAUUUCCAAUUUCGAUUUGGAAUUGUUGAGCAGUAGGUUAAAGAUAACCUCCUUUGAAGUACCCUGUGUGGAUCCGGGGGCUGCUUCUGCGCUGGCUUUGCUAGCUUGCAUGACGGGCUGUAAGACGCUCAAUCAAUCGGGCGCUAUCCCACCCUUCUUCCUUGAUCUACACAUUCACGCCCUUUAGAGUUAAGGAAUGAUGGUUAAGAGUUCUUGCUUUUGAGUUCCCACUCUGACUAUUUAGAAGGCUAUAUAGAAUAAUACCUUAAUGAAUUGAAGCGGAUAAAGCUCAGCAUUUCUCUAAUUUGAAUCGAAAGUUGCUUUUGACUCCUCCGCCUUUGAAGGCUGGUUACAUCCAAUGUCUCCUACGAGGCUGCCUUAAAGUCCUCUUUGUCUAGGCAGAGGUAUAGCCCUUUUUGAAUACAUUUGACUUGGUGCUCACUUGUAGGAAGAUUCCCCGCUCUGAAGUCAAGUCUUUUUUGGAGCUCCUUCCAAAGAGGUUGGGAUUAGACUUUCAAUUGGAUGUGUCCCGGUCAAAUCGUUAACGACAGAUCCCUGCAGACGUACUACUUUCAAUCAAACCUUCUCUCCUUUACCUUCUUGAUUGAUAGAUAGUGAGGCCUAGGACUUGCUUCCUUAGAUUUGUUGAAUUUACUCUGUCUUCACGAAUUGGAUUUGAACAAAUAUCUCUGGGCGACUUUCCUUUUAAUCGAUCGUGAGGGGGGUUUCCACUUUAUUACUCAGGUAGAGUGAAAUGGCUAGGCUCCCCUAUCACCUUUCCUUUCGGUGAUAUAUUUUGCCUUAGCACUUACGAAGUAGACGUCAUUUAUUGAGUUGAAGUGAAGUCUUUCCGUUCCCGAUUCAAUUACAGCUGUUCUCGCUAAAGCCCGAUCUGAUCCCGCUUGAGCGGCAGGGAGAAAUCCUGAUCUUCCAAUUGCGUCAAUACAAUAAGAUAGAUGCCUGAAUCGCUCCGUGGCUUUAUACACCCCAAAAAAGAAUGAAUAGGCGCCCAGAUGGAAAAAUUACGAUAGAAAUAAAGCUUGGAAAUGAAGGAUGCGCUCGCGGAAACAAUGAGAUCAUCAACAUAAACUAUAAGAUAGACUUGAAUGCCUGUCAAUCGGUAUUCUAUAUGAUGUGAUGUUGCUAGUUUCAUCUGCUAGUAAGAGAAGCUGCGGUGAAUGAAUCCUUCUUAGCUAAGGAAUGUUUGUUGGACACCCACCCAUUGUCCAGUUCCGGCUAGCGCUCCUCGUUGCCUUUGUUUGCACGGUCUCAUCACUUAGUGGUCUGGCAUGCAGUUAAACAGGUUGACCCUGGAAACCGCUUUCUUAAGUAUGCUGUACUAGGGGACAAUGUAGGAGGACGCUCGUGUAUAUGAAAAAAUUUUUUGUAAUUGGGCUUUUUCUUUCCUAUCAGAAAUCUAUGAUUUCCCAUCAAGGUUCAGCUGUGAAUUCGCAAAGAGGUUCAGGGUUCGUAAUUUGAGUAAGGAUCUUUCACCUAUCUAAAUUCGGGCUCUUAUGAACUCUCACCAUCCCUAUGGUACUAUGGCUGUACAGCUACAGUACCCUAUGAAGAGAUUUUCCACUCUUUGUUUUGUAGAGUAGGGGGUUGUGGGUUACCGUGCUCUAUCUAGAAUCGACCAUGUUAGAAGUCUUAAGGUAGAGAGGUUGAUUGUGCUUCAUGUCUCCCAAGAGCAUAUUGUUCUGAGUGAGGGUAAUGUUUGCUAUCGCCGCUUCCUGUUUUGCUUUCUUAGCGAAAUGCGUGCUUCCGUUCACAUCAAACAUCGUUCUUUUCCCUUUUGCCCCUACCUUGGUGUUGACCCUAGGUUCGCUAGCUUCCUUUCCGGUCUCGUAUGGGGAGUAAGUUAAGCCAUUCCACUAAAAUACUCUUUAUUGAUUGAGCUUUCUCAGUCUUGGUUUGAAAGCCUUGACAGUUCAGUUCGCGUAGUUCGUAGCCAUCGUUAGAGGAAAGAACUUGUAUUACAAGGAUUCAUUAACUGUAAAUCUGGCAAUUCCUACCAGGGUGGUGGGUCAGAGCGGAUUCCCUUGCUUUAGGGCAGGAAUAGCGGAAUGGUUGGGGGGCUUGUCUUUAAGCAGCUGGCUUCCACGUAGCUACAGCUGCAGAGGAUAGUCUCUAAAAGCUACAACCGUCUCUUCUUAUUAUUCUCCGAAAACAUACCUAGGUUUUGGCAAUCACUCUACUGACAGAGAACCUAAGAGCUACCAAUAAGCCUUUAGGCAGGCAGCGGAAAUGGUAAAUGUCGUCUUCCUUUACAAUGACUUCUUCCUUUCCUCUUCACCAUACGCAAUUCUAGCUCACCCUCGGAUCAGGGGAUACCUUAAGUCAGCAGCUCCCUUUGAAGAUAGGGCAUUUACAUAAACUCCGAAACCGUACCCAGGGAGCUUACAUCAGGAAACUCCCAAGCUUGCCGAGGAAGGAACAAAACAGAGAAAGACACCGUCCAACCGCUUUUUUAUGUGCGCGUACCACUUUUGAGUAUCUUUGCACUGCUAGCUCCCUUAGAUCAUUGGCUACCAGAAAGACUAGAACUCAGGAACAUCAAUAUGGUUAGGGAUCAUUAAGGUACGGCCCUUAGCCUAUUCCUUUCUGCCUUUUGAACGAAUCUAGAACCUCAAUUAGCAGAUUCAUUAGAAACCUUUCUUGGAAGACUCAAUUCAUUAGAUAAGCCUAGUACAUAAUCACUGAUAGGAUCAUUCCUGAAAUUAACAAAUAAUUAAUGGGCACUUUGAAGCAAGUUGAUCCUAGAAGACUAACCUCGUAGCUCACUUAGAUCAAUCAGUUCAAGCAUUGACAAACCCGCCUUCCUUCUGUGUUCAGGACGGAGACUCUUUCUGCCUUUGUCGAACUGCCUUGACGCCUUGGCAGGCUUUGACCUGCUUUCCUUCGCUUACCGGAGAGCGGAUUCUUUAUUACUGACUUUUCGCGGUUGAUCGCACCUCGCACCUAAAGGAGUCGGUCCUUGUGAGGAGGAGGACUCUUCUCUUGCUGUCAAAAGUGCUUACUCAUGGUCUAUCGUGCAGUUGAUGAUAUCAUUCUGGACUAGUUUCCAGGCAUACGCCAACCAUACAUACCGCUUUCUCGUUCAGGAAUUUCUUAAGAUUAAGGUUCGAAAGGACCGGGCGGCGAUGAAGUAUGAGUCUAAAACACUAUAUGCAGAGCUGCCUUAGCUCAAUAGAUCAACGAAUCAGGAGAUGACUUCUUAAACGUUCGCGAAUGGAAAAGAGUUGCUUUAGGCACGGACCACAAACCCACGAACCUAAUAGUUGGAUCCAUGAGGAGACAGGAGAAAGCCAUUCAUUCCGGUCAUUGAGCCCGGAUUGAGGAUUGAUUGAUCUAAACCAAAGACUUGAUUAUAUAUAGGAGAAAGGCGUUCUCAUACCCUGAUACCGCUUUGUGGAAACCUAGAACAGAAGAAAGUCUCUUUAGGAUGGCUCUGUCCUAGCUAGACCGAGUCACAACUACUUAUUAUAGAAGACUCAGGCACACUUCCCUAUACUUCUCCUAAGUGACAUCAAAAUACUCUUUCAGCCGAUUCGAAAGCAGCAAUAGAUGAGAUUGAAUCAGACAGAAGGUUCACCCCUCACCCUGGGGGAUUGGGGAGUUGAGACUUCCUUGCUCUUAGGCCCGCUGUAAGGCCAAUAAGAUCAGGAAGAAGGGGAUUGGAUUCUUCCUUUUAUCCGGACUGACUCUAAUCGUGAUUUUGACUCUAUUAUGAUACCUCCCUCUGUCGCAAUAGAAAUCGAGAAUGGAGGUGACUUCGCUACACUUGUUUAUAGUUGGAAAUUCCAACUCGAAGGCCCUAGUACUACUGACUUUGCACCAGAUUAAAUUGAAGCCUUUUUUCGGCAUCCCUUCUCAGACGUCUUAUUCCUUGCCUUAGUAAUGUGCAAUCAGCUACUUGGCACCUUCCCUUAUUCUCCUUCCUUUCCGAGGUAGUACUAAUUAAUGCUUGAAUUGCUCCUAUUAGAAAUAGGGCUACUCUUGGGUACGAAAGAAGGAUAUUCCGAGCCUGGGCACAUCCCUUUGAUAGCUUUGUUUAGCCUCCUUUACUAUGUCAAUCCCUCCGUAUUGGUUAUGGCUGAAGCCGAUCCUCUCCUUGGUACUUCACCUAGUGGCUAAUCUCAAGUCUCUUCUCUCGACCGGAUGGGCCUAUGUCACUAGAACAGGUGAGGAAGGCCUCCAAUCACUGUACUGGCAAUUCAAGAUGAACUCCUUCCAUGCCAACAAUAAUAGUACUAAACUUUCAAAAGAAGAGAGAUGAGAUCAAGCUUUGAAGUUGGUAGCUGAAAGAAAGCUGUUCGUGAAGGUCAGGCCAGAGCAUAAGGAAGGAAGCUCACUCAGAAGCGAAUUCCGACUACUAUUUUAGAGUACCGAAGCUCAAUGGCAUUGAUCACACCUACGGCCAGAAGAAAGAAAAUACCUAGCGCCCCGGUCCCUCCAUUGACUGACUGGCUUAGAGGGCAUUCCGCACAAUGACCAGUGCAAUUCGCGCAUCUGUCGGUAGAGGGUUCAGAUAAAGUAAGUAGCUCGCAAAGAGGGAGUUCCCUGGCUGGUACCAAUAGAUAGAGCUACUAGUAAGAUAAGCAAAGGCGGUUGAGAGUGGAAGGAGUUAACCUCUCAGCCUCAAGGUGAAAAAAUAUAGCAACUGACAAGGAGUAGCUGUAUAGGUACCAGUUAGGGUGCCAAUCUAGUAUAGCACUGCUAACAGGACGGUCAGUCGAUAGCGAAAGCAAAACUUCUCACAUCUCUAUGACUCUUUGUUCUCAUGACCUCAAAAUGAUUGACUACAUUCAAUAUAAAGGAGAAAAAAGGAUUUAUCCCCCUAUUCAACUACCCAUCCAAGAGCAUUUGGCUUCAGAAUACUUUCUUCUUUUUCUUUUUCUAUGGACUGCAUAAAUCUUAUCUUCCAGCCCAAAGGAGGAUAAUCUCUUUUGGCAGCUCAAUCCUCACGGUAAUAAUUAUGCCAAUUCUGCCUAAAAAUCUCUUCAGGUGAUCAAGGGGGCUCCCUUUUUCAGUAGAUGAGAUUAGGAUGAAAGGUAUUAUCUCAACGCCUCUUUUCUCUGGCUUGCUCUUUCAAAUCCAAUUUUGGCCUGCAGUAAUGUAAUCGGGAUUUCAUCUCCUAAAUUCUUUUUUCUAUGAAAGCAAGAGGUGGAAAGUUUUGUUAGAAAUUCUGCCUUAUUCCAUGAGAUCUAGAAGCACUUCUGCAACUUUCUCUCUUCCCUAGCGCUCUUUUUUUU